GGAGCGGGGAAAUGUCCGCCCGCGGCUCGGCGCUCGGCCCAGCGGGCUGACGGAGGGGCUGCGGAGCCCCGAGCCGCCGAUGGCGCCGAGGGGCCGAGGGGGCUGAGGCGCAGGGCGGGCCCGGCCGCCAUUUUGGACGCCGAGCCGCCUCGCUGCGGGAAGGUCUUGCCUUGGCCUCGCAUCAGAAAAACCUACCAGUGAACAUGCGUACAGGAAAAUGCUUAAGUAUGCAAGAAAAUGAUAUCAUCUGAAAUGUAAAAAUGAAUAAAGAAUUACACGUAUGUAACAAAGCAGAA